rnacentral:rRNA from 1 species
UACGUAGGGCGCAAGCGUUGUCCGGAAUUAUUGGGCGUAAAGAGCUCGUAGGCGGUCUGUCGCGUCGGAUGUGAAAGCCCGGGGCUUAACCCCGGGUCUGCAUUCGAUACGGGCAGACUAGAGUGUGGUAGGGGAGAUCGGAAUUCCUGGUGUAGUGGUGAAAUGCGUAGAUAUCGGGAGGAACACCAGUGGCGAAGGCGACUACCUGGCCUGUUCUUGACGCUGAGGCGCGAAAGCUAGGGGAGCAAACGGG